GAUGAAGAACGCAGCGAAAUGCGAUAAGUAGUGUGAAUUGCAGAAUUCAGUGAAUCAUCGAAUCUUUGAACGCACAUUGCGCCCUUUGGUAUUCCGAAGGGCAUGCCUGUUCGAGCGUCAUGUAAAAUCUCAAGCUUAGCUUGGUAUUGGGCGUUUUUGUUUCCUAUAAACCGGAAACUCGCCUUAAAGUUAUCGGCGUUACUAUGUCGGUCUUCUCAAAGCGCAGUAAAUUGUCGCUAAAAGAGACUAAUGUAGAGGCUGCCGUUUAAAUACUUAAAUAUUAUUCAAUUGACCUCGGAUCAGGUAGGGAUACCCGCUGAACUUAAGCAUAUCAAUAAGCGGAGGA
rnacentral:misc_RNA from 1 species